GCGCCCAUAGCUCAAUUGGAUAGAGCGCCAGCCUCCGGAGCUGGAGGUUGCAGGUUCGAGCCCUGCUGGGCGCACCA
rnacentral:tRNA from 1 species